rnacentral:rRNA from 1 species
GAUGAACGCUGGCGGCGUGCCUAAUACAUGCAAGUCGAGCGAACGGACGAGAAGCUUGCUUCUCUGAUGUUAGCGGCGGACGGGUGAGUAACACGUGGAUAACCUACCUAUAAGACUGGGAUAACUUCGGGAAACCGGAGCUAAUACCGGAUAAUAUUUUGAACCACCUGUUUCAACAGUGAAGGACGAUCUUGCUGUCACUUAUAGAUGAAUCCGCGCUGCAUUAGCUAGUUGGUAAGGUAACGCCUUACCAAGGCAACGAUUCAUAGCUGACCUUAGAGGGUGAUCAGCCACACUGGAACUGACACACGGGCCAGACUCCCACGGGAGGCAGCAGUAGGGAAUCUUCUGCAAUGGGCGAAAGCCUGACGGAGCAACGCCGCGCGAGUGAUGAAGGUCUCCGGAACGUAAAACUCUGUUAUUAGGGAAGAAAAUAUGGGUAAGUAAAUGUGCACAUCUUGACGGUACCUAAUCAGAAAGCCACGGCUAACUACGUG